GCUAACGCUGGCGGCGUGUCUUAGCCAUGCAAGUCGAGCGGACUUAUGGGGUAACUUAUAAGUCAGCGGCGGACGGCGGAGUAACACGUAGCUAACCUACCCUCUGGACGGGGAUAACCUACCGAAAGGUGGGCUAAUACCCGAUGUAGUCAUCCUGUAUAGGGGUGAUGAAAGGUGGGCUUCUGUUUACAAGCUCAUGCUGGAGGAGGGGGCUGCGGCCUAUCAGGUAGUUGGUAGGGUAAUAGCCUACCAAGCCGAUGACGGGUAGCCGGCCUGAGCGGGUGACCGGCCCGAGGGGCACUGAGAUACGGGUCCCACUCCUACGGGAGGCAGCAGGCUAGAAAUUUGGGCAAUGGGGGAAACCCUGACCCAGUGACGCCGCGUGCAGGAAGGAGCCCUUCGGGGUGUAAACUGCUGUCGUGUAGGGAGAAGGGUACUAAGGUGAACAAUCUUAGUACUUGACGGUACUACAGGAGGAAGCCCAGGCUAACCUCGUG
rnacentral:rRNA from 1 species